rnacentral:lncRNA from 1 species
AUUCUUGUUUUUUUCUGCUGAGGCUCUAGAGGGACACCUGUCAGACUGACCAAGGCCGAAGAUGGCUCCCUACCAGAGAGAUUCAACUGAGGGCUUGCGAUAGGUCUUGUGACAUUGCUAUUGAUCUUGAGACAUUCAUCUGAAGCAUGAUUGUCACUGGCUUCAAACUUUCCUCAUCAUAAGAGAGGGACUGGGUCUACUUCAAAUGUUUCGCACUAAUGAAGU